AUGAAUGCAGCUCAGGCAGAGGACUCGUCAGAUGUCAUCAUGGGUAACCUUCCUAUUAACGAUGUUCCUCCAAAAGUACUUUUUGACUCUGAUGCAUCGCAUUCUUUCAUGUCAUUCCCAUUUGCAUCAGAGAACAAUUUUGGUACUAAGGCAUUACCUAGAGCAUUGCAAGUUGUUUCUCCGGCUAAGCGUCUGAGUUCUAGCAUGAUGGUUCCAGAUAUUUCUAUCAUGAUGGGUGAUUUCAAGUUUCUGGCUUCUCCAAUGGUCCUUGGUAACUCGGGUAUUGAUCUUAUUCUCGGAAUGGACUGGCUUUCUAAGCACAAGGCUCAGCUUGAUUGUGCAGCCAGGCAGAUUCAAUUGACUCAUUCGUCUGAGGAUGUUAUUGUCUUUGCCGCUCGGGAUAAUACCAUCCGUCUGUUUUCUCUCAAUGAGAAGGGUGAACUGGAUGCCAUCUUGCAAAUUCCAGUCGUUUGUGAAUAUCAAGACGUCUUUCCAGAAGAGCUUCCAGGAAUGCCUCUGCACCGGCCAGUUGAAUUCGUCAUCUAUCUUGAGCCUGGCACGGAACCUGUUUGCAAACGUCCUUACAAGCUUGGACCUGAAGAGUUGAAGGAGCUGAAGAAGCAACUCGAUAUUCAAGAGCGAAUGGGUCUCAUCCGACCUAGUUCUUCUCCAUGGGGUUGUGGAGUUCUUUUUGUGAAGAAGAAGGAUGGAACGGACCGACUUUGUGUUGACUACCGUCCGUUGAACAAGAAGACUAUAAAGAACAAGUACCCACUUCCCAACAUCAACGAGCUAUUUGAACAACUCAAAGGUGCUCAAGUAUUCUCCAAGCUUGAUCUCCGUAUGGGCUAUCACCAGAUUCGAAUCCGUGAGCAAGAUAUCCCCAAGACGGCUUUCAGAACAAGCUAUGGUUCAUAUGAAUACAUUGUCAUGUCUUUUGGCCUCGUCAACGCUCCUCCGACUUUCUCUCGCAUGAUGAACUUCAUCUUCAAUGCCUACACAAAUGACUUCGUCUUGGUCUACCUCAAUGACAUUUUGGUCUUUUCCAAGAACAAGGAAGAUCAUGCCAAGCACUUGCGUUUGGUGCUGGAUAAGCUCAGAGAACAUCAGUUCUACACCAAGUUUUCAAAGUGCGAGUUUUGGCUCGAUGAGGUUCUCUACCUUGGGCAUAUCAUCUCUGCCAAGGGCAUAGCGGUGAAUCCUGAGAAGGUGUCUGCAAUUGUGAAUUGGGAACCACCUCAGAACGUGAAGCAACUCCGCAGCUUCCUUGGUCUCGCAAGCUACUGUCAAAGGUUUGUUGAGAACUUUUCAAAGAUCGCGAAGCCUCUUUCAAACCUUCUCCAGAAACACGUGAAGUAUGAUUGGUCUCCGGAAUGUGACAUCGCUUUCAACACCUUGAAAGAGAAAUUAGUCAGUGCUCCAGUUCUGACUCCUCCUGAUGAAUCCAAACCGUUCGAGGUCUUCUGUGAUGCCUCUUUUCAAGGUCUUGGUGCAGUGUUGAUGCAAGAGAAGAAAGUUGGGGCUUAUACCUCUCGCCAGUUGAAGCCCAACGAGAAGAACUACCCCACUCAUGACCUAGAGUUGGCGGCAGUUGUGCAUGCUCUUUUGACUUGGAGACAUCUCUUAUUGGGAAGAAAAGUGGACAUCUUCACUUAUCACAAGAGUCUCAAGUACAUCUUCACUCAGCCUAAUCUCAACCUCAGGCAGACUCAUUGGGUCAAAAUGAUUCAAGAGUAUAAUCCGAGCAUCGAAUAUACUCCAGGCAAGGCCAAUGUAAUUGCUGACGCAUUGAGCAGGAAGGCUUACUGCAACAGUCUGAUUCUCAAGCCUUACCAACCCGAGCUUUGUGAAGCUUUCCGCAAACUCAAUUUGCAAGUUGUUCCUCAAGGUUUCCUCGCCAACCUCCAAGUCUCUCCUACUUUGGAAGAUCAAAUUUGCGAGGCUCAACUUCUUGAUGCUAUGGUGAAGAAGGUGAAGAUUGGGAUUGCCAAGAGUCAAUCCAAGUACAAGUGA
rnacentral:rRNA from 1 species